UACGGGGGGGGCAAGCGUUGUUCGGAAUUACUGGGCGUAAAGGGCUCGUAGGCGGCCAACUAAGUCAUACGUGAAAUCCCCCGGCUUAACUCCGAAACUGCAUUCGAUACUGCGGUGCUUGAGGACUGGAGAGGAGACUGGAAUUCAUGGUGUAGCAGUGAAAUGCGUAGAGAUCAUGAGGAAGACCAGUGGCGAAGGCGGGUCUCUGGACAGUUCCUGACACUGAGACACGAAGGCCAGGGGAGCAAACGGG
rnacentral:rRNA from 1 species